rnacentral:rRNA from 1 species
UGGGGAAUAUUGCACAAUGGGCGCAAGCCUGAUGCAGCGACGCCGCGUGGGGGAUGACGGCCUUCGGGUUGUAAACUCCUUUCGCUAGGGACGAAGCUUUUUGUGACGGUACCUAGAUAAGAAGCACCGGCUAACUACGUGCCAGCAGCCGCGGUAAUACGUAGGGUGCGAGCGUUGUCCGGAAUUACUGGGCGUAAAGGGCCCGUAGGUGGUUUGUCGCGUCGUCUGUGAAAUUCCGGGGCUUAACUCCGGGCGUGCAGGCGAUACGGGCAUAACUUGAGUACUGUAGGGGUAAAUGGAAUUCCUGGUGUAGCGGUGAAAUGCGCAGAUAUCAGGAGGAACACCGAUGGCGAAGGCAGGUUACUGGGCAGUUACUGACGCUGAGGAGCGAAAGCAUGGGUAGCGAACAGG